UUUUUUGUUGUUGUUUUGUUUGC
rnacentral:piRNA from 1 species